rnacentral:rRNA from 1 species
GUCGUAACAAGGUUUCCGUAGGUGAACCUUCGGAAGGAUCAUUACCUAGAGUUUGUGGGCUUUGCCCACUGUCUCUUACCCAUGUCUUUUGAGUACUUACGUUUCCUCGGUGGGCUCGCCCGCCGGUUGGACAAUUUAAACCAUUUGCAGUUGCAAUCAGCGUCUGAAAAACAUAAUAGUUACAACUUUCAACAACGGAUCUCUUGGUUCUGGCAUCGAUGAAGAACGCAGCGAAAUGCGAUAAGUAGUGUGAAUUGCAGAAUUCAGUGAAUCAUCGAAUCUUUGAACGCACAUUGCGCCCCUUGGUAUUCCAUGGGGCAUGCCUGUUCGAGCGUCAUUUGUACCUUCAAGCUCUGCUUGGUGUUGGGUGUUUGUCUCGCCUUGCGCGUAGACUCGCCUUAAAACAAUUGGCAGCCGGCGUAUUGAUUUCGGAGCGCAGUACAUCUCGCGCUUUGCACUCAUAACGACGACGUCCAAAAGUACUUUUUACACUCUUGACCUCGGAUCAGGUAGGGAUACCCGCUGAACUUAAGCAUAUC